rnacentral:rRNA from 1 species
GACGAACGCUGGCGGCGUGCUUAACACAUGCAAGUCGAACGGUGAAGGACGGAGCUUGCUCCGACCGGAUCAGUGGCGAACGGGUGAGUAACACGUGAGUAACCUGCCCCAGACUCUGGAAUAACCCCGGGAAACCGGAGCUAAUACCGGAUACGAGACGGAGAGGCAUCUCUACCGUCUGGAAAGUUUUUCGGUCUGGGAUGGACUCGCGGCCUAUCAGCUUGUUGGUGAGGUAACGGCUCACCAAGGCGACGACGGGUCGCCGGCCUGAGAGGGGGACCGGCCACACGGGGACUGAGCAACGGCCCAGACGCCUACGGGAGGCAGCAGUGGGGAAUAUUGCACAAUGGGCGAAAGCCUGAUGCAGCGACGCCGCGUGAGGGAUGACGGCCUUCGGGUUGUAAACCUCUUUCAGCAGGGAAGAAGCGAAAGUGACGGUACCUGCAGAAGAAGCACCGGCUAACUACGUGCCAGCCGCCGCUGUAACAC